GACGAACGCUGGCGGCGUGCUUAACACAUGCAAGUCGAACGGAAAGGCCCUGCUUGCAGGGUGCUCGAGUGGCGAACGGGUGAGUAACACGUGGGUGAUCUGCCCCUUACUUUGGGAUAAGCCUGGGAAACUGGGUCUAAUACUGGAUAGGACCAUGCUGUAGGUGGUGUGGUGGAAAGAUUAGUUUCGGUAAGGGAUGAGCUCGCGGCCUAUCAGCUUGUUGGUGGGGUAAUGGCCUACCAAGGCGUCGACGGGUAGCCGGCCUGAGAGGGUGGACGGCCACAUUGGGACUGAGAUACGGGCCAGACUCCUACGAGAGGCAGCAGUGGGGAAUAUUGCACAAUGGGCGCAAGCCUGAUGCAGCGACGCCGCGUGGGGGAUGACGGCCUUCGGGUUGUAAACUCCUUUCAGCCAUGACGAAGCCCUUGUGGUGACGGUAGUGGUAGAAGAAGCACCGGCUAACUACGUG
rnacentral:rRNA from 1 species